rnacentral:rRNA from 1 species
GACGAACGCUGGCGGCGUGCCUAAUACAUGCAAGUCGAACGAGAGCGACCGGUGCUUGCACUGGUCAAUCUAGUGGCGAACGGGUGAGUAACACGUGGGUAACCUGCCCAUCAGAGGGGGAUAACAUCCGGAAACGGAUGCUAAAACCGCAUAGGUCUUCGAACCGCAUGGUUUGAAGAGGAAAAGAGGCGCAAGCUUCUGCUGAUGGAUGGACCCGCGGUGCAUUAGCUAGUUGGUGAGGUAACGGCUCACCAAGGCCGUGAUGCAUAGCCGACCUGAGAGGGUGAUCGGCCACAUUGGGACUGAGACACGGCCCAAACUCCUACGGGAGGCAGCAGUAGGGAAUCUUCCGCAAUGGACGCAAGUCUGACGGAGCAACGCCGCGUGAGUGAAGAAGGUUUUCGGAUCGUAAAACUCUGUUGUUAGAGAAGAACAAGUGCUAGAGUAACUGUUAGCGCC